ACGAACGCUGGCGGCGUGCCUAAUACAUGCAAGUCGAACGAGAGCGACCGGUGCUUGCACUGGUCAAUCUAGUGGCGAACGGGUGAGUAACACGUGGGUAACCUGCCCAUCAGAGGGGGAUAACAUUCGGAAACGGAUGCUAAAACCGCAUAGGUUCUACAGUCGCAUGUCUGAAGAAGGAAAAGAGGCUUCGGCUUCUGCUGAUGGAUGGACCCGCGGCGCAUUAGCUAGUUGGUGAGGUAACGGCUCACCAAGGCCGUGAUGCAUAGCCGACCUGAGAGGGUGAUCGGCCACAUUGGGACUGAGACACGGCCCAAACUCCUACGGGAGGCAGCAGUAGGGAAUCUUCCGCAAUGGACGCAAGUCUGACGGAGCAACGCCGCGUGAGUGAAGAAGGAUUUCGGUUCGUAAAACUCUGUUGUUAGAGAAGAACAGCGCAUAGAGUAACUGUUAUGCGUGCGACGGUAUCUAACCAGAAAGCCACGGCUAACUACGUGC
rnacentral:rRNA from 1 species